rnacentral:rRNA from 1 species
UUUGUGAACCAACCUGUUGCUUCGGGGGCGACCCUGCCGUCCGCGGCGCGGCGCCCCCGGAGGCUCUCAAACACUGCGUUAAUUACGUCGGAGUCUCAAGUAAAUUGAACAAAACUUUCAACAACGGAUCUCUUGGUUCUGGCAUCGAUGAAGAACGCAGCGAAAUGCGAUAAGUAAUGUGAAUUGCAGAAUUCAGUGAAUCAUCGAAUCUUUGAACGCACAUUGCGCCCCCUGGUAUUCCGGGGGGCAUGCCUGUUCGAGCGUCAUUUCACCACUCAAGCCUGGCUUGGUAUUGGGCGCCGCGUGUACCGCGCGCCUUAAAGUCUCCGGCUGAGCUGUCCGUCUCCUAGCGUUGUGAUACAUAUUCGCUACGGGUGCCGGGCGGCCGCGGCCGUUAAACUUCUUU